UGCUAGUCUUCAAACAAAAUUUUAUUAGAAAAAACACUGUUUGCUGUCUGUUUUAGUUUGGUAUAAGAUCAAGAUCAACUGAUCUUCAAUCAACAAAGAACGAGCUUGGCAUCGACAUUGGGUCAGUGACGGUGGCAAGAGACGUGGUCAGUCUCGUGCUUGGUUACCUUAACAAUCUGGUUAUCGAAAUGGCCUUUUUUAUUCAGAGGAGGAGCUGCCGGAGCAUCUUCUUGGGACGUGCCGGCUGAACCAUCUAGACGCAGCAAAAUCUGUUACAGUAAAAGUAUGAAUAGUAAUUUAUUCUAAAUUUAAUGCCUGAUUACUAGGGUAGAUUGGUUGAGAAGCUUGGGCAAUGAUUGAUACAG